rnacentral:lncRNA from 1 species
CCUCCUCCCUCUGUCAGGCGGGGAAGAAUUGAAGAGGGAACCUUUGACCUUAUCUUUAGUUCUGAUGAGCACUGAACAGUCCAGCCCGGAGGAAGAGUAUCGGAAAGCUGAUGACUACAGCAAUGCUCCCUCCUCCGUCACUUUGUCUGGGGGAGGGAUCACAUAGCGUAUAUCAGGCAAUGUGUGAGAACAUAUUACACGGUGAAAAGAAUUAUUCCUAACUUUCUAAGUAAGUAAAUAUUAUUAAACUGUUAUGUUUAUGCUGGAAGCCUGGGGGGUCCAACUGUUUUCACACUUGAACUAAUCCCUGCUUUCUGCAACGGCUCCUUUGGUUGGCUAUCAAAUCUGAUCUUCCAGCAGCCGCCUUUCAUGAUUCCUUCUUGAACUCACACGUAGUGCAUGACAAACCCACAUGUUUCUGGUUUAUUUUGUUGUUGGUUUGCUUUGAGAUGGGGC